rnacentral:rRNA from 1 species
UGGGGAAUAUUGGGCAAUGGACGCAAGUCUGACCCAGCAACGCCGCGUGAAGGAAGAAGGCUUUCGGGUUGUAAACUUCUUUUAACAGGGAAGAGAAGAAGACGGUACCUGUUGAAUAAGCCACGGCUAACUACNUG